GGAGACAGCCGGUGAUCGCCAGGUAAUAUCUUUUACCUGGAGGAAAGUCCGGGCUCCACAGGGCAGGGUGGUCCGUAACGCGGACCGGGGGUAACCUUAGGGAAAGUGCCACAGAAAAGAUACCGCCAGUUCUUUAUCUGGUAAGGGUGAAAAGGUGAGGUAAGAGCUCACCAGCUGCAACGGUGACGUUACAGGCUUGGUAAACCCCACCCGUAGCAAAAUCAAAUAGGGGAGCGCUUGAGAGUGGCCCGCUCGAAGCUCCCGGGUAGAUUGCGUGAGGUGUCGAGCAAUCGACAUCCCAGAUGAAUGGUCACCACCUUGUAUACUCCAAGGGAACAGAACCCGGCUUAUGACUGGUCUCCACCG
rnacentral:RNase_P_RNA from 1 species